CACUUCAAAAAAGCGCCAGGACUGCCCGAAUUAACUUCGGCAGUUGACGAGGAGGAGGAGCAUCGAGUUUUCGGCGGAUGCCUCCCGGCUGAUCACUGCACAGUCGUAUACCUGAACUUGAAAUCAUGAAGGCGACUUCGUGGACAAAAGAGCGGGAAUGCAGCAA
rnacentral:ncRNA from 1 species